GAGGUUAAGCGACUAAGCGUACACGGUGGAUGCCCUGGCAGUCAGAGGCGAUGAAGGACGUGCUAAUCUGCGAUAAGCGCCGGUAAGGUGAUAUGAACCGUUAUAACCGGCGAUUUCCGAAUGGGGAAACCCAGUGUGACUCGUCACACUAUCAUUAACUGAAUCCAUAGGUUAAUGAGGCGAACCGGGGGAACUGAAACAUCUAAGUACCCCGAGGAAAAGAAAUCAACCGAGAUUCCCCCAGUAGCGGCGAGCGAACGGGGAGGAGCCCAGAGCCUGAAUCAGCAUGUGUGUUAGUGGAAGCGUCUGGAAAGGCGCGCGAUACAGGGUGACAGCCCCGUACACAAAAGCGCAUGUGCUGUGAGCUCGAUGAGUAGGGCGGGACACGUGGUAUCCUGUCUGAAUAUGGGGGGACCAUCCUCCAAGGCUAAAUACUCCUGACUGACCGAUAGUGAACCAGUACCGUGAGGGAAAGGCGAAAAGAACCCCGGCGAGGGGAGUGAAAAAGAACCUGAAACCGUGUACGUACAAGCAGUGGGAGCACCCUUUGGGGUGUGACUGCGUACCUUUUGUAUAAUGGGUCAGCGACUUAUAUUCUGUAGCAAGGUUAACCGAAUAGGGGAGCCGGAGGGAAACCGAGUCUUAACCGGGCGUUAAGUUGCAGGGUAUAGACCCGAAACCCGGUGAUCUAGCCAUGGGCAGGUUGAAGGUUGGGUAACACUAACUGGAGGACCGAACCGACUAAUGUUGAAAAAUUAGCGGAUGACCUGUGGCUGGGGGUGAAAGGCCAAUCAAACCGGGAGAUAGCUGGUUCUCCCCGAAAGCUAUUUAGGUAGCGCCUCGUGAAUUCAUCUCCGGGGGUAGAGCACUGUUUCGGCUAGGGGGCCAUCCCGGCUUACCAACCCGAUGCAAACUGCGAAUACCGGAGAAUGUUAUCACGGGAGACACACGGCGGGUGCUAACGUCCGUCGUGAAGAGGGAAACAACCCAGACCGCCAGCUAAGGUCCCAAAGUCAUGGUUAAGUGGGAAACGAUGUGGGAAGGCCCAGACAGCCAGGAUGUUGGCUUAGAAGCAGCCAUCAUUUAAAGAAAGCGUAAUAGCUCACUGGUCGAGUCGGCCUGCGCGGAAGAUGUAACGGGGCUAAACCAUGCACCGAAGCUGCGGCAGCGACGCUGAUGCGUUGUUGGGUAGGGGAGCGUUCUGUA
rnacentral:rRNA from 1 species